ACCACCUGUAAGAAAAUCAAGAAAUAACAGAAGUCAACCUCCCAAAUCUAAGGAUACAACCAGGGAACAACAUCAGCAUUUUUUAGAACAGGCCAACUCUACACCCCCAGACGGAGGUCCAAAACAAGGAGGGGCGGAUACCGAAAGAAAAGACCCAAUACAGACCCGCAGAGCGAAGACCAACAAAGCAGCAACACAACAGAAAACCUAGAUGAUAGACUCUCUUCACUUGUGAGCCAUCCCAACCCGGAGUGGAACCCGAAAUAAUCCAUUGGAAUAAUACACUUUUUUACAAGAUGAUUUUUUUCAUCCUUCUGGAAGUUUACAUUUUUAUUUAUUUUUUGUCAAUUUACAGGAUGGGACGCCAUAAGUAAUAGAUUGUGUUAGCCAUUGGUUGCCAGAAUGUAUAAUGCCGGACCCGGAGCGUGCCAACACACUGUGCAAGUACAGAAAAGAAGGUACUGCCCAUACUUGUAAUGGCUGCCGGGAUAUCGGUACUGCACAGCACGCAUGCGCCGUGCAACUUGGCACCUAUUGGCGCAUCAUCCUGUGAAUGGACGUAACUUCCGGCGCAUGGUCCCGUUGGACAUGCGCGUUUGCUUUGUUUACAAGCCGGCUACAAGCGGACACACCAUGGAUACGGGUCCCUCUCCGGAUUGGCUGACCACAUUGUUUAUACAGAAGUACAGGUUGGACAAUUAGAAGUCAUUUGUAUAAUAUUUUUGUUAGUUAUGAAGAUCGGAGAAACGGGAUGUUCUCUAGAAACUCUGUAUAUUGGAUUACUAUGUAACACUUUCUAUUUAUAUACACGAUACUGUUUAUUUCACUAUGUUGUGUUUAUUUAUGUCAUUGUCUGACACACCCAUUGUCACUUUAAGGGUAACUCCCCCUGCCUCUGAGGUUAACUCCUCCUUAUG